rfam:TPA: Bos taurus chromosome 7, whole genome shotgun sequence.
UCCCUGGUGGCUCAUUGGUAGAGAAUCUGCCUGCCAAUGCAGGAGACACAGGUUCAAUCCCUGACCUGGGAA